UACGUAGGGUGCGAGCGUUAAUCGGAAUUACUGGGCGUAAAGUGUGCGCAGGCGGCCGCGCAAGUCGAGUGUGAAAGCCCCGGGCUUAACUUGGGAAUUGCGCUCGAAACCACGUGGCUGGAGUGUGGCAGAGGAAGGUGGAAUUCCACGUGUAGCGGUGAAAUGCGUAGAGAUGUGGAGGAACACCAAUGGCGAAGGCAGCCUUCUGGGCCAACACUGACGCUCAUGCACGAAAGCGUGGGGAGCAAACAGG
rnacentral:rRNA from 1 species